AACGACUGUCCAAUUAUCACCGGGCCCUAGAGGUGGGUAUCAGAGGUGCUGCUUGGCGGCCCAUGAAUCUGGCCAAGGUAGGAGAGGUUAUGCAGUGAGCAACUGAGCACCCCUCAGUCUUCCUCGAAAGGCUCAUGGAGGCUUACAGAAGAUAUAUCCUAUUUGAUCCCACAUCAGAGGGUCAAAGGGCCUGUGAUUAUGGCCUUCAUUGGCCAGUCGGUUCCCCACAUUAGAAAGAAGUUACAGCGAAUUGAGGGCUUGCAGGAUUAUACCAUGAGGGAUGUAGUUAGAGCAGCAGAGAAAGUGUAUCAUAAGAGAGAAACAGAAGAUGAAAACUUAGAGAGAGAAAAGAGGAUGAGGAUAGGAGAGACAGGAGACAGGAAAAGGUUUUGACUAGGAUACUGGCCACAGUAAGAGAAAGAGAUAAAGGGAGAAGAGGUAGACAGUUAGGGAACCUGGGAGACAGACGAUACCAGGGACCAAGGAGACCCAGAGAAGGCAGACAGCACCUGGAGAGGAACCAAUGCGCAUAUUGCAAGGAAAUGGACCACUGGAUGAGUGACUGUCUGAAAAAGAAGCAAGAGGUGAAGGUGCUUUCUCUUGGAGAAGAUGAAGACUCAGAGAAACAGGGCUCGGCCCCCCUCCCCAAGCCUAGGGUAACUUUAGAAGUUGAGGGGACCCCUGUGGACUUUCUAGUCGACACUGGGGCAGAAUUUUCAGUACUCAAGACACCACUAGGAAAAGUGAAGAAAAACGAAAAAACCUUGGUGAUCGGGACCAUGGGACAAAAAUCGUAUGCAUGGACCACAUCCUGAAUAGUAGACAUAGGGCAAAAUCAAGUAACUCAUUCGUUUCUAGUCAUUCCAGAGUGUCCUAUGCCCUUAUUGGGGAGAGACUUACUAACCAAGUUAAAAGCACAAAUAACUUUUACCUCUCAUCGACCAGAGGUAUCCUGGGGAAUGAAAGCACCCCAGACUCUAGAGCUAACUUUACAACUAGGAAAAGAAUAUCGACUCUACCAAAGUAAAGUGAACCCCCCUGAGGGAUUAAAGGACUGGUGUGGGCAGAGACAGGAGGAAUGGGCAUGGCAAAACAGGUUCCUCCUGUGGUGAUUGAACUUAAGUCCGGGGCCACCCCUAUAGGGGUCUGACAAUAUCCCAUGAGCAAAGAAGCUCAAGAGUGUAUACGCCCCCAAAUCAACAAACUGUUCCAACAAGGGAUUUUGGUCCCAUGCAAAUCCCCUUGGAACACUCCUCUACUUCCUGUAAAAAAAAAAAACUAGGGACCUGUGACUACCAUCCAGUUCAGGAUCUUAGAGAAGUCAACAAGAGGGUUCAAGACAUACACCCCAUGGUGCCAAAUCCUUAUAACCUCCUCAGCACCUUGUCACCUGGUUGGACGUGGUACACAGUCCUAGAUCUCAAAGACGCUUUCUUCUGUUUGAGGUUACAUCCCAACAGCCAGCCUUUGUUCGCUUUUGAAUGGCGAGAUUCUGAGAGUGGACAAGCUGGACAGCUCACAUGGACGAGGUUGCCUCAGGGAUUCAAGAACUCGCCCACCUUGUUUGAUGAAGCCCUACACUGAGACCUUGCCCCCUUCUGAGCCAGUAACCCACAGGUGACUCUUCUGCAGUAUGUAGAUGACCUCCUACUAGCUGCAGAAACAUGUGAGGACUGUGAAACUGGGACUCAAAACCUCCUGGUCGAGCUAGGUUAGCUGGGGUAUCGGGUCUCUGCUAAAAAGGCUCAGUUAUGCAGGACAGAAGUGACCUACUUAGGAUAUGUUCUGAGAGAUGGACAACAGUGGCUCACAGAAGCCAGAAAACAAGCCGUUAUGCAGAUCCUGGCCCCAACCACUGCUAGCCAGGUAAGAGAGUUCCUGGGGACUGCUAGGUUUUAUAGACUCUGGAUUCCCAAAUUUGCCACUCUGGCAGCCCCAUUGUACCCAUUAACCAAAGAAAAAGGAGAAUUCAUCUGGACCAGAGAACAUCAGCUAGCCUUUCAAACUCUCAAAAAGGCGCUACUGCAGGCUCCAGCAUUGGCCCUGCCAGAUGUGAGCAAGCCUUUUACCGUAUACAUUGAUGAAAGAAAUGGGGUGGCAAGGGGAGUCCUUACCCAGCUUUUGGGGCCAUGGAAGCACCCAGUAGCCUACUUAUCAAAGAAGCUGGACCCUGUGGCCAGCGGAUGGCCCUCCUGCCUGCAAGUGAUAGCAGCCACGGCUGUGCUAGUAAGAGAUGCUUACAAACUGACUAUGGGCCAGAAUGUUACCAUAGUGGCCCCGCACUCUCUUGAGAGCAUUGUCAGGUAACCACUGGACCACUGGAUGACUAACGCCAGAAUGACGCACUACCAGAGCCUAUUGCUGACAGAGCAAGUAAGUUUUGCACCCCCAGCCAAUCUCAACCCUGCUACUUUACUACCUGAGGUUGACGAGGCCCCUGCACAUAAGUGUGAGGAAAUACUGGCAGAAGAGACUAGAAUCUGGCCAGACUUCACAGACCAACAUUGGCCAGGGGAGAUGACCUGGUUCACUGAUGGAAGCAGCUUCGUGGUAGAAGGUAAGCGGAGGGCUGGGGCAGCAUUAGUGGAUUAGUGGAAAGUCUGUCAUAUGGGCCAGCAGCCUGCCCAAGGGUACAUCAGCUCAAAAAAGCGGAACUUAUCUCACUAAUUCAAGCCUUAAGGCUGGCAGAAGGAAGGACUCUUAAUGUCUAUACCGUCAGCCGGUAUGCUUUUGCCACGGCCCAUGUUCACAAAGCAAUAUACCAACACCAUGGACUGCUAACGUCUGCCGGCAAGGAUAUCAAAAAUAAAGAAGAAAUUCUCAGCUUAUUAGAAGCUGUCCAUCUGUUCCAUAGAGUGGCAAUUAUCCAUUGCCCAGGACACCAGAAGGGAACGGGGCCCGCUGAAAAGGGAAACCAAAUGGCAGACCAAGAAGCCAAAAAAGCAGCCCAAGGGCCAAUGACUCUGGUGGCAAGAACCCAACAGCCCGCCAACGAGGAAAUAACUAAAAGAACCCUCACAGAUGAAGAGGGGCGAGAUUACUUAGAUAACAUACACCAUCUGACUCAUUUAGGAACUAAAAAAUUAAUAAAAUUGGUUAGUAAGUCCCCCUAUUACAUUCCUGGAUUAAAAAGAAUUGUAGAAGAGAUAGUAAAAAACUGCCAUGCUUGUGCACUUACCAACGCCGGGUCUAGCAGGCUCCAGGAAGGAAAACGACUGUGACGAGACAGGCCUAGAGCCUACUGGGAAACCCGACUUUACUGAGGUGAAACAGGCUAAGUAUGGAAAUAAAUAUCUCUUAGUUUUCAUAGACACCUUCUCAGGAUGGGUCAAGGGGUUCCCCACCAAGAAGGAAACAGCUAUUGUAGUGGUCAAGAAGAUACUUGAAGAAAUCCUUCUCCGCUUUGGGAUACCUAAGGUAAUGGGGACAGACAACAGACCUGCCUUUGUCUCCCAGUCUUUUCGCUCGAUUAAAAGCUCUCGAAAUAGUAAGAAAAGAGGUCUGGGAACAGCUAAAAGAAACCUAUGUUGCUGGUGACACAGGUGCCGCACCAGUUUGAAGUAGGAGACGCAGUCCUGGUGAGGAAACAGCGAGCAGGGAACCUAGAGCAGAGGUGGAAGGGGCCCUUCUUGGCCCCUUCUGACAACGCCCACCUCGGUCAAAGUGGAAGCAAUCCCCACUUGGAUCCACGUGUCCCAUGUCAAGAGAGCACCCCCUGGAGUCAGCCAUGAUGAGUGGACUUUGGAGAAGACUACUAACCCUCUUAAGUUGCGCCUGCUUCGCAGGAGCGAUCCCAAAGGACUUCAACCCCUACAGUCCUGUUCAACAAACGUGGGAGGUAUUCAAUGAGGGGGGUAGGGCUGUAUGGACAAUCGCCGAGGUACACCCCCUGUGGACUUGGUGGCCUAAUCUUUGCCCUGACAUCUGUAAGUUGGCUAUAGGAGCCCCUCCUGGAUGGGACCUUUAGGGGUACUCUGACAUUAAGAGGGCACCUUUUAAACCCCCUCCGUACGUAGAAAAACAUUCGAGAGACCCAUGGGGUGGUUGCUCUAACCAAAGGAAUAGAAGCAUGCUUCAAACCCAUCCCUUCUAUGUCUGCCCCAGGCCCCACCAAAGUCAGUCCCUCAAUCCAACAUGUUGAGGUAAGACUGACUUCUUUUGCAAGAGCUGGGUUUACAAGACUUCAGGUACAGCCCGCUGGAAGCCCUCCUCGAGCUGCGACUAUAUUAGAGUAACAGCCAAUUAUUCCUUAGUGUCUUACGUACCUGAAGGAUUUCACCUAGAUGAGUAUACUGACUGGUGCCAUCUGCUCCGUGUCACCUUCACUGAACCAGGGAAAAGAGCUCUGGGAUGGACAAAAGGGUAUACCUGGGGUCUUAGGAUUUACAAGGAAAGAUAUGAUGAGGGAUUAUUGUUCACUAACAGAUUAAAAUAGAGACCCCCUACAAUCCUUUAGGCCCCCCAACCAAGUUCACACCCCUUACCUAUACCAUUACUCAGCCUACUCCGGUGAUUGCGGACCCUCUUAAUAUGGUCGCUCUCACCCAACCUCCCACUCUUCAAGUACCUCUAACUAUUACCUCCACAAUCCCUUCAACAAGACAGAGGAUGUUUAACCUAGUGAGAGGAGCCUUUUAUGCCCUUAAUAGAACUGAACCAAGCACUACUGAGGACUGCUGGCUAUGCCUGUCCUCGGGUCCUCCUUAUUAUGAAGGAAUUGCCUUCAAUGGAGAUUUCAACAGAACCAAUAGCCAUACUUCCUGCUCUUGGGGAACAGGACAAAAACUGACCCUGACUGAAGUAUCCGGGAGGAGUCCAGGUCUCUGUAUAGGCACCCCACCUUCCACCCACAAACACCUAUGUGGACAAAUUCAAUCAGUGUCCAGGACAGAAGCUAAUUACUAUCUUGUACCUUCCCUGGUUGGCUGGUGGACUUGCAAUACAGGACUUACUCCCUGUGUAUCAACUAAGGUUUUUAAUUCAUCUCAUGAUUUUUGUGUCAUGAUCCAGCUGUUACCCCGCGUAUAUUAUCACCCUGCAUCCAGUUUAGAAGAAAGCUAUGCUGCCCGGCGGUCAAAAAGAACCAAUUACUUUAACCCUGGCUGUAUUCGUGGGAAUAGGUAUGGCAGUAGGAGUGGGGACAGGAGUGUCAGCUUUGAUAGAAGGAAGACAAGGAAUUCAGUCUUUGAGGGAUGCUGUCAAUGAAGACCUAGCAGCAAUAGAGAAGUCCAUUGACCCUUUAGAAAAAUCUUCGACUUCCCUGUCUGAGGAAGUUUUGCAGAACAGGAGAGGCCUUGAUUUGUUGUUCCUAAAGGAAGGAGGACUGUGUGCUGCCCUUAAAGAAGAGUGCUGCUUCUAUGCAGAUCAUACAGGAAUACUUAGAGAUUUUAUGCAGAAA